rnacentral:rRNA from 1 species
UGGGGAAUAUUGGACAAUGGGGGCAACCCUGAUCCAGCCAUGCCGCGUGUGUGAAGAAGGCCUUUUGGUUGUAAAGCACUUUAAGCAGUGAAGAAGACUCCAUGGUUAAUACCAAUGGACGAUGACAUUAGCUGCAGAAUAAGCACCGGCUAACUCUGUGCCAGCAGCCGCGGUAAUACAGAGGGUGCAAGCGUUAAUCGGAAUUACUGGGCGUAAAGCGAGCGUAGGUGGCUUGAUAAGUCAGAUGUGAAAGCCCCGGGCUUAACCUGGGAACGGCAUCUGAUACUGUUAGGCUAGAGUAGGUGAGAGGAAGGUAGAAUUCCAGGUGUAGCGGUGAAAUGCGUAGAGAUCUGGAGGAAUACCGAUGGCGAAGGCAGCCUUCUGGCAUCAUACUGACACUGAGGUUCGAAAGCGUGGGUAGCAAACA